CCUGGAGAGAUGUGAAUCCAUAACCAAACCUGACUCUCAGUUCCUCCCGGUCGAUAAACUAAAGCUGGAGGGAGAACUGCUGGAACUGAAACACCUACAGAGUGAACUUCAGUCUCUGGAGACGGUUCACAACAGACUGGUGACUCAAACGCCAACUCUUUACACCACUGCAUCAGAUGAACGUGUGGAAACACUCACAGAAGAUCAUGAACAGCUCGAGAAAAGAUGGAAGUGUCAGACCACAACUAUACCUCAAAGAAUCCAGGUGCUUCAGGAGCAGCUUU